rnacentral:tRNA from 1 species
GAUAAAAUGGCUGAUUAAAGCUGUAAAUUGUAAAUUUACUCAUGAGUUAUUCUUUUAUUA